GUGCUCACUUUGACAGCAUGUAUACUAAAAUUGAAACAAUACAGAGAAGAUUAGCAUGACCGCUGCGUAAGGAUGAAGUGAAGCGUUCCAUAUCUUUUUUUUUUUUUU